ACACUUUCUGAUGUUGACAAAGUCUCAGGGAUAUACUGUAGCGGCGGAGGAGGAGGAGGAAGGGCUGCUCGCUUCUUCAGCAUAUCAGGAUCUGAGAAGAGAGUCAGGUAGACGAACAGAGAGAGAUGACUACGCAUCUGUGGCCAAACAAUAGAGUACUGGGCCAUGUUUUGAGACUGAAGAGUUUGUGCAGAAACAAGGUUAAAAUAAUGUGCCCUAUGAUUUCCCAAUAAUAAUAACAUGGGUGACAGGUUGCUCUUUAAUUUUGGCAUGAGAUGUUCAUGUUAAUUUACAAUUUCACACAUGAAAAUACAAUGUU